rnacentral:rRNA from 1 species
CACGCAGGCGGUGCUGCGCGUUUCGUGUGACAGCGGGUGGCUUAACUGCCCGAGGGUGCGAAAGACGGCAGGACUGGAGGGCCAGAGAGGGACACGGAAUUCCGGGUGGAGUGGUGAAAUGCGUAGAGAUCCGGAGGAACACCAAAGGCGAAGGCAGUGUCCUGGCUGGUGACUGACGCUGAGGUGCGAAAGCCAGGGGAGCGAACGGGAUUAGAUACCCCGGUAGUCCUGGCCGUAAACGAUGACCACCAGGUGUGGGAGGGCUCGACCCCUUCCGUGCCGGAGGAAACCCAUUAAGUGGUCCGCCUGGGGAGUACGGUCGCAAGAUUAAA